rnacentral:rRNA from 1 species
GAUCUGGCUCAGGAUGAACGCUAGCUACAGGCUUAACACAUGCAAGUCGAGGGGCAGCAUGGUCUUAGCUUGCUAAGGCCGAUGGCGACCGGCGCACGGGUGAGUAACACGUAUCCAACCUGCCGUCUACUCUUGGACAGCCUUCUGAAAGGAAGAUUAAUACAAGAUGGCAUUAUGAGUCCGCAUGUUCACAUGAUUAAAAGUAUUCCGGUAGACGAUGGGG